UUAUGAUCUUGCCUCCUGAUGACCCACCACUGCUGGAUCCACCACCGCAGCACCCAGAGGACCCUCCACUGCCUCCACCUCCAAUAAUGCUCUUUGAUCCUGAAGAGCCACCGCUGCUGUAUCCUCCUCCCAUGCCAUAGCCUGAGGAGCCCCCACUGCAGCACCCAGAGGAUCCUCCGCUGCUGCUUCCACCUCCAACAAUUAUUAUCUUGCCUCCUGAGGAUCCACCACUGCUGGAUCCUCCACCGCA